rnacentral:rRNA from 1 species
CACGUAGGGUGCAAGCGUUGUCCGGAAUCAUUGGGCGUAAAGAGCUCGUAGGCGGCUUAGUAAGUCGGGUGUGAAAACCCCAGGCUCAACCUGGGGACGCCACCCGAUACUGCUAUAGCUAGAGUCCAGUAGGGGAGUGUGGAAUUCCCAGUGUAGCGGUGAAAUGCGCAGAUAUUGGGAGGAACACCUGCGGCGAAGGCGGGUUGCUGGGCUGACACUGACGCUGAUGCGCGAAAGCCAGGGGAGCGAACGGG